rnacentral:misc_RNA from 1 species
UACAAAAAAUGCAAGCGUUGUCCGGAUUUAUUGGGUUUAAAGGGUGCGUAGGCGGGUUAUUAAGUCAGUGAUGAAAGCCCACAGCUCAACUGUGGAACUGCCAUUGAUACUGGUAAUCUUGAAUUCAGUUGAGGUAGGCGGAAUUGAUGGUGUAGCGGUGAAAUGCAUAGAUACCAUCAAGAACACCGAUUGCGAAGGCAGCUUACUGGACUUGAAUUGACGCUGAGGCACGAAAGCGUGGGGAGCGAACAGG